GCUUCCUAGGAGAUAGUGUUACCUUCACUGCAUAGCAGUAUAUAAACACGUAGGUCUUCGGUAACAACAAUCUUUCUUAUCUUUGUCUAGAAUACUGGACAUCUCUCACAUGUUAUUUAUAUUUCUUAGAAGAUGAAGUCUAUUUCAUUCAGCUUUGCUGCUUUGUUGCAGCUUUUUUCUUUUUUCCUACGAUCUCCAGGUUCAUUUUUCAAGCCACUUGGUCAAAUUAGGUGGUCUCUAGGCUGUGGAUCCCUCCUGUAAACCAAGAAAAAUGGAAAUGUGGCCUUUGUUUGACAAAGGCCUUUCUUCUGCUUCCCAGGUAUCAUCAGAUCCCCUUGUGACUCAGGCGAGUCAGGCUACAGAGGGCAGCUGCGCUCUGCUGGGGGCUCGGCUGUGGAGCAGGAAGAGGCCCAUGAACUCUGCUCUCCUCUUGCUUGGCGCACUGGCCUGACCUGCACUCAGCGGCCACAACCUUCCAUUACAGCUUCCUCGGGGCCCAGAUAUUGUUCUCAUAGCUUCAGGCUGUCUUUCCACACCCAUGUUGCGUUUCUGAAGCUCAGUGCGGGUCACUCAAAGGCAGUGCCCUGCCAAGCCUCUCAGUGAAUCAGGAAAUACC
rnacentral:lncRNA from 1 species